ACCCAGAUGACGGGUUCCAAUUAGGACGAAAUGCGCAUCCUGGAU
rnacentral:hammerhead_ribozyme from 1 species